GGUGAUCAUAGCGUUGAGGUCACACCCGUUCCCAUCCCGAACACGGAAGUUAAGCUCAACAGCCCCGAUGGUACUGCGCGGGCCUCUGCGUGGGAGAGUAGGAAGUCGCC
rnacentral:rRNA from 1 species